rnacentral:lncRNA from 1 species
AUGAGGGUCUGCCACCCACUGGCAGUGACCCUGGACCUGUCACUUCCCCCUCAGACCCUACUCCCUCACCUUCAGAAACGGGUCAGUCUGCUAGAGGUUUUCCAAAACUCCUUCCAGCCAAGAGCCCCCAAGGCCAGUCAAGUGCCCCAGGGUGACUGCCACCAACGAAGGCGGCCACCGGCUGGCUUUCAUUCCCCCACCCUUCCCAGUCACAUAGUCCACAGCCAGCCCUGGUCCCCCGUCCCAGAGCGGAAACCGUCACCAAGGGCAAGGCGGCAGCCCCAGCGCUGGAGGCCGAGGCCUGAGAACAUGCCUUGGCCUCAUUCGAGACAAAACAAAGGACACAAGACUGAGCUGGGAGCCAGCGGUUGCCAGAUGGGGCCUCACCCUCACCCUAACGGCUGGCAGCGGAGAUGGAACCGGAAGUGGGAGCCGCCCGAGCCAUCCCAGAGGUGCCCAGCUGCUCUCACACAGGGUGAUGCAGAGGUGACGCAGCCCUGUGUGCAUCCCCAGCACCGGAAAACAAAACCAACAAGUGCUCACCGAGGCGCCCUGAGGGCAGCAGCUGCUCAGCACCGUGUGACAGGAUGCAAUCACAGUGGCAGUAGCUCCAGCUGCACUGGCUCACUGUCUCUGAAAGCGAGCCCAGAGAAGCUGAGUGGCCUUCAGAUCCUGGAUUUAUGGGCCCUGGCUCUUGGUUUGGUUUUUGGAUUUGUUUGUUUGUUUGUGACAGGAUCUUGCUUUGUAGUUCAGGCUGGCCUUGAACUUUCAGCAAUCCUUCUGCCUCGGCCGCCCCAUUGCUGAGAUGCACCUGCCUGGCCAUCGCACGGUGUCCCAGACCGCAACUUCUCCUGCUCUCCCCAGAGUGCACAGAGCAGAGCCUCUCACAGAUGCCUGGCCUCGGUGGUCUGGCCAGGGCGGGGGUGUGAGUUCACUCUGGGUGAGUGACUGAAGGGUUGUCCCUUCCAGAUGUGCCAGAAAGAACUUCAAGUCCUAUUUUCUGAAAACAAAACACUAGCUAAAGAAUCCAAAAGAGGAAUGAGAAAGCCAGAAGUUGUGUAAUAGGAAAAGUUGUACCAGCAUCUUCAUAUCAUUGAGAAACUUUUUGCAGCGUGGGCACUUACAAAAAGCACAUGGCAGAUAACUCUUAUUCCUUGGAGAAAAUUCCCUUCAUUAGAACCUGGCAUUCUGUUUUCACCUUAAAAGAGCCAUUUUACAUUGUCUCAGAUUUGGAAACUUUGUACAAACUAUCCACAAUAAAACAAAAUAAA